CUAAUUAAAGCAAUCAGCCUUAUAACAGACAGAACAUAACUGACCAAUGUGGACCCCAGAUCCCUGCAACGCUAUCGCUUAGAGUCCUGUUUGCAUUUCUAUUGGAGUCUCUCUGUGCAAUGCCUGUCAGUGAACUUGAUAGACACUUUCAAAUUUUAUACAUUCUACUUUUAAAGUUAGGAAGAGAGUAAUAUUUCACAUAUUAACACUUAAAGCCAAAGCCAUGGUGUUUUAUUUAAAUUUACACAUUAUGAUCCUUCACAGAGCUAUAAACAGAACUCUGGUUCAUUACAUUGGUAAUGAGUCUUCCCUGCUGAGAACAUUUAUUUCUAUUUAGUUGUAAGCCACAGUUCAUUCCUACUCAUAAGCAAAGGGACCUCGCAUGAGUUGUUCUCUGAGGUUUGCCAAAAGGUUUGUCCCCAAAUUACUGUCCCCUUUAGCCUGUUGAGCUCUAUGAAGUAAACAACAUUGCAGCCAGUGUGUUUUCAAGAGCCAGUGAUUCUGAAAUCACCUAACACACGUCUAGCACAUAAAUGUUUAUAAAAUCUAAAUGCGGAAAAGAAGAUCCUUUAAUAUUGCAAAUUUAUUAGCCAGAAGAUCAAUAUAUUAAGCUCCUAUCAAUCUAAGUGAGGUUGUAUUAUCAUUUUAGCUGUCCAGUUGCCUAAUAAGGACUCAAGAGAAGGGGAGAGAAUAGCUCUUAUCCUAAAACCUCUCUUCCUUAAUGCCACAACACUGAUUAGAAAGUUUAUGAGGAAACCGGGACUGUUCAGGGGCAUUGAAAAAAAAAAUCACUGAUUAUAAAUGUUCCAUAGACCCAGAGCUACACGUUGAACUCCCUUCCUCUAGCCCUUCAAGUGCUAGAGGACUAAAGAAAGAUUUGCUCUCGCUAGAAGUUCUACGCCAGUCCUUCGGUAAUGGCUGCCUGUUGAUUCUGCUGAAAUGGAUUUCUGACCACAUCCGGGCUACGUGGGUGCUGCGAUCUAUUGGUACUGUCUGCCACAGGCAUAGCCUGAAGAACAGGCUCGUUGAUCACUGUCCACAUUUACAAUGUGGGAGGACGCUCCUGGGAGAAGCAUACAAAUAUUAAUGUCUGAUCAUACCUGCCUUGUAUAAAAUAGGUGUACCUGAAUUACAAAUACUGCGACUUUUACAGAGCAAAAGUUUCUAUUCAUCUUGUGGCAUAAUUUUAAUGUUAGUUUUGUUCUUGUGUGUGUGUGUGUUUCUUAAUCAGAAAAGGCUUUAAUUUGCCUAUUCAGAACUCUAACUUGUUUGAUUUUUCAACUGUAAGCUCCUUCCUUCAUCAUUUCACUAAGUAACUUAAAAUUAGUUCCCACAUCAUUUCACUAAGUAACUUAAAAUUAGUUCCCUCUCGUUUAGAAAUAAAAUCUGGUUACACUAAUCUUGAUAGUAUCUUGACCUGUGUUGCAAGUUCAGUUUUCCAGAAUCAAAUGCUGAGACGGAGUUUGGGUGCAAAAUUUUUGUUAGGAAUCCAUCCCUUUGAAAGGGAGGAAGUGGAAGUAGAUUUGGGCAGAGAAAGAAGUAGAAUGGCAAUGCAGGCCCAUCGAAGCCUCGGCCACUCUGGGGGAAAGUCUGAAAUGAGGGCUGGCAGUCAGAGGUCCCACAUGAGGCCAAAAGGGCCAGGUUUUCAUCCCUUGUCGCGCUUAGUCACCAGUUCG
rnacentral:lncRNA from 1 species